rnacentral:misc_RNA from 1 species
GAGAGGUCCUAGGCGACGUGGGAAGUUCAGAGGCAGAUCCGACCGAGGAGGUCAUCCAUGGCAAUUGACGGGUUGGGUAUGUCAAUUGGCCAAGUUAGUGGCAAACGAGCUGAGGUUGCUAGAUGGGAAGCAAGCCAAUCAAGUGUGCAAGAUUGGUCAGCCGGAAAAUGCCACGGGCUCAAGGGGCAUGAGGCGAGGUUCACUGCCUAGGU